GACGAACGCUGGCGGCGUGCUUAACACAUGCAAGUCGAGCGGAAAGGCCCUGCUUUUGUGGGGUGCUCGAAUGGCGAACGGGUGAGUAACACGUGAGUAACCUGCCCUUGACUUUGGGAUAACUUCAGGAAACUGGGGCUAAUACCGGAUAGGAGCUCCUGCUGCAUGGUGGGGGUUGGAAAGUUUCGGCGGUUGGGGAUGGACUCGCGGCUUAUCAGCUUGUUGGUGGGGUAGUGGCUUACCAAGGCUUUGACGGGUAGCCGGCCUGAGAGGGUGACCGGCCACAUUGGGACUGAGAUACGGCCCAGACUCCUACGGGAGGCAGCAGUGGGGAAUAUUGCACAAUGGGCGGAAGCCUGAUGCAGCAACGCCGCGUGCGGGAUGACGGCCUUCGGGUUGUAAACCGCUUUCGCCUGUGACGAAGCGUGAGUGACGGUAAUGGGUAAAGAAGCACCGGCUAACUACGUG
rnacentral:rRNA from 1 species